AGCCAUGGUUCUGCUCGAGGUUUCCUUGCCUCUGUCGCCUAGUGCUUGCUCUUGGAAUCAUCUCUGGAGACCAGCCCUGAAUACUCAGUCCCAGAACUCAACUCACUCUGCUCACGUAAAACCGUGUGUGGACCUCCACCCUCCAAGCCAGUCAGCCAGCCACUCUCAGGAACGUCCCCCACCUCUGGACCCCCACUCUUGCCUGCCAGCAACCCCCCUCGCACAAUUACACUUUGUCAAAUAAACCGUUGAAAUCAC